rnacentral:rRNA from 1 species
ANANCUNCNGCAGUCGACGAUUCCUACGGGAGGCAGCAGUGGGGAAUUUUGGACAAUGGGGGCAACCCUGAUCUAGCCAUUCCGCGUGAGUGAAGAAGGCCUUCGGGUUGUAAAGCUCUUUCGCAAGAGAAGAAAUCUUACUAUCGAAUAAAUAGUAAGGAUGACGGUAUCUUGACAAGAAGCACCGGCUAACUACGUGCCAGCAGCCGCGGUAAUACGUAGGGUGCGAGCGUUAAUCGGAAUUACUGGGCGUAAAGCGUGCGCAGGCGGUUUUAUAAGUCAGAUGUGAAAUCCCCGAGCUCAACUUGGGAACUGCGUUUGAAACUGUAAGACUAGAGUGUGUCAGAGGGGGGUAGAAUUCCACGUGUAGCAGUGAAAUGCGUAGAUAUGUGGAGGAAUACCAAUGGCGAAGGCAGCCCCCUGGGAUAACACUGACGCUCAUGCACGAAAGCGUGGGGAGCAAACAGGAUUAGAUACCCUGGUAGUCCACGCCCUAAACGAUGUCUACUAGUUGUUGGUGGAGUAAAAUCCAUGAGUAACGCAGCUAACGCGUGAAGUAGACCGCCUGGGGAGUACGGUCGCAAGAUUAAAACUCAAAGGAAUUGACGG